GACGAACGCUGGCGGCGUGCUUAACACAUGCAAGUCGAACGGAAAGGCCCUGCUUUUGUGGGGUGCUCGAGUGGCGAACGGGUGAGUAACACGUGAGUAACCUGCCCUUGACUUUGGGAUAACUUCAGGAAACUGGGGCUAAUACCGGAUAGGAGCUCCUGCUGCAUGGUGGGGGUUGGAAAGUUUCGGCGGUUGGGGAUGGACUCGCGGCUUAUCAGCUUGUUGGUGGGGUAGUGGCUUACCAAGGCUUUGACGGGUAGCCGGCCUGAGAGGGUGACCGGCCACAUCGGGACUGAGAUACGGCCCAGACUCCUACGGGAGGCAGCAGUGGGGAAUAUUGCACAAUGGGCGGAAGCCUGAUGCAGCAACGCCGCGUGCGGGAUGACGGCCUUCGGGUUGUAAACCGCUUUCGCCUGUGACGAAGCGUGAGUGACGGUAAUGGGUAAAGAAGCACCGGCUAACUACGUG
rnacentral:rRNA from 1 species